rnacentral:rRNA from 1 species
GGUUUGAUCCUGGCUCAGAUUGAACGCUGGCGGCAUGCUUUACACAUGCAAGUCGAACGGCAGCACGAGUGCUUUGCACUUGGUGGCGAGUGGCGAACGGGUGAGUAAUACAUCGGAACGUGUCUUAAAGUGGGGGAUAACGCAUCGAAAGAUGUGCUAAUACCGCAUAAUCUCUAAGGAGAAAAGUAGGGGAUCGAAAGACCUUACGCUUUGGNAGCGGCCGAUGUCUGAUUAGCUAGUUGGUAGGGUAAAGGCUUACCAAGGCAACGAUCAGUAGUUGGUCUGAGAGGAUGGCCAACCACACUGGGACUGAGACACGGCCCAGA